UCCUGUCCAAACGAGCCUCAUCAUCCCUCUGAGUUCGCAGCUCACUAUCAUUGCUGUUUCCUUAUUAUUCCUGUUUAUAUUAACAAUCAAGCAUGUCAAAGCUCAGGAUUCAACAGCCUCCAAAUUGAAUGAAGGGGAAGAAACAUAUUCAGUAGUAAUUUUCUCGAAAACCAACACACU